rnacentral:rRNA from 1 species
AUGUCUUCCGGUGGGAUCGCGCGCGGCCGCCUCGCCGAGGAGCGCAAGGCCUGGCGGAAGAACCACCCCCACGGCUUCGUCGCCAAGCCGGAGACGCUGGGCGACGGCACGGUCAACCUCAUGGUCUGGCACUGCACCAUCCCCGGCAAGCAAGGGACUGAUUGGGAAGGCGGAUACUUCCCUCUCACCCUUCAUUUCAGUGAGGAUUACCCCAGCAAGCCUCCCAAGUGCAAGUUCCCUACGAAUUUCUUCCACCCGAAUGUCUACCCUUCAGGGACAGUCUGCCUUUCAAUCCUCAAUGAGGAUAGCGGCUGGAGACCUGCUAUUACUGUGAAGCAAAUCCUUGUUGGAAUUCAGGACUUGCUUGAUCAGCCCAACCCGGCUGACCCUGCUCAGACUGAUGGUUAUCACCUUUUCAUCCAGGAUCCAGCUGAGUACAAGAGGCGUGUUCGGGCGCAGGCAAAGCAGUAUCCCGCAUUGGUCUGA